AAACCUCAACCUCCUUGGUUUCUUCUGGAGACCAAAGGCAGGCUUGGACUUUGGAGGCCUUUGCUGGAACCUCUCUCUUUUGAAGGCCAGCUCCUCUUAAACGAAUUAGCAGGGUCCUCUUUGCCGAUCCUCGACGUGUGAUAAGAUGUUUCCAUGCCUGGCUCUGUCACUUUUGGGACCCGCUUCUAACCGUCUUGACCUUGCAUCGAGACAAUGUUCGAGCAUGUCUCCCUUCUCGGGAAGCUCCCUCGACCCCACGAAC
rnacentral:misc_RNA from 1 species